GUGAGCAUCUACGUAAACCUCUGCUUUCCUGCCAACAACAGCAGCAACCCGGCAGUCUUGAAGAUUUCACUUGUACUGCUCAGAACUAAACUCCAUAAGGUGCAUUUCCUAUUAGUGAACAGAAGUAUUUCCUACUUACACAGUACUUGUCUCCAUGGAUCUUCCAUCAAGUUAGCCCACAAGGAUCUGAGCCAGAAGGGGCAUUUGCUCCGUAGUGCUGCGUUGCUGGGGAGCUGGCUGGGCAUGACGGGGCUGCAGCUGGCCCGGGUGUUCCGUCCCUCAUCCACCUCUAGAGACACUCCCUGGAGCACGAGCAGUGAGACCAGGCAGGUCUGCAGCUGGAACGGCCAAGAAUUCCGCAUGCACACCGCAGCCCCUCUGAGGGGGAAAGAGGAACCGUGACACACGAGACAAAUUAAAAGCAUAUUAAAUAUGCAGUUCUACUUUCUAGCCAGGAACUGUUU
rnacentral:lncRNA from 1 species